rnacentral:lncRNA from 1 species
UUCUAAGUGGCAAGGCCAUGGAGGUCAGAAGAUUGCUUGCACUCUACUAUUUCUCUGUUCGUAAUUCCUUGCCAUCCCACUGAUCUUGACAAGGAAACUGUGGCUUUCACUGAUCCUUGGUGUGGAGUACUUUAGAUGACCUUGUUCAAUAAUAAAAAUCAAAACCAGCAAAGAAUGGUUCGGUAGGCAAGAGAUAGAUCAUCUUGGAAUGAAUGUGUCAAGACUCCAACCAGGAGGUUAACACUUUUCAGAUCAAGUCUACAAAUAAUUGUGUUAAAUUGCUUUUGUUUAAUACUUCAUACAUUGCAAAAUUGCUUUUAUAUUUGCAUUUGAGUGUUCCAACAACUCUUGAGAAAGGCUGAAGAAGUAUAAUUUUUUCUUUUUUAUAGAAGAAGAAAUGCAUGACUUAAAUACAGAUUUUUAACUUCUAUUCCACUAUUCUGAUGCCACAAUAUUCUUUUCCUUUAUAAUCAUUCAAUAAAUAAUCUCAACCUUUUGCCUAUUUUUACA